ACGGGCUACUCCGGAUUCAGGAUCGUGCGCUUCUGCCGCACGGACCGGAGUUCUUCAACCUCGUGUCCGUGCC
rnacentral:tRNA from 1 species